GAUCAUCAAAAGACAUCUAGCACCAAAGGUAUCUAGUUGUCAUCUUAGGUCACUAAUUACUGUCCAAGUGUCACAACCAUACAGUAAGACAGAAAGCACCCAAAAGACCUCACAGCUCCAUAAGUGCUUCCCAGGAGUCUCUCAAACUCAAAUGCCAAAGACCCAGAGAUAUGAAUGUCAUCUCUGAGAUAAACAAAUCACUCUACAAGUUCAGUACUUCCACUGCAAACACAUACACUUCUGAUGGCCAAGUCUGGGAAGUCACUGAAUGCCUGAAUUUUAGUUGAUUCUGGACACUGACAAACCA